GCCAAAGCAACAAUCCUGUCUUAAUGCCGCUUCUGAAUAUUAUGUCUACAAAGGUAUAAGCCACCAUGGGGUUUGAUGCCUACUGCUC
rnacentral:lncRNA from 1 species